UUUUGGAUACCUUUACUGGUUUAGCGGGAAUAUGGCUUUAAAAUUGUACUACGCCGCUGCACGAAAUAAGCUGUGAGCCACUUAUAUUUUUUUCUCUUCUCC